GAGGAAAAGAAACCAACAGGGAUUGCCUUAGUAGCGGCGAGUGAAGCGGCAAAAGCUCAAAUUUGAAAUCUGGCACUUUCAGUGUCCGAGUUGUAAUUUGAAGAAGGUAUCUUUGGGUCUGGCUCUUGUCUAUGUUUCUUGGAACAGAACGUCACAGAGGGUGAGAAUCCCGUGCGAUGAGAUGUCCCAGACCUAUGUAAAGUUCCUUCGAAGAGUCGAGUUGUUUGGGAAUGCAGCUCUAAGUGGGUGGUAAAUUCCAUCUAAAGCUAAAUAUUGGCGAGAGACCGAUAGCGAACAAGUACAGUGAUGGAAAGAUGAAAAGAACUUUGAAAAGAGAGUGAAAAAGUACGUGAAAUUGUUGAAAGGGAAGGGCUUGAGAUCAGACUUGGUAUUUUGUAUGUUACUCUCUCGGGGGUGGCCUCUACAGUUUACCGGGCCAGCAUCAGUUUGAGCGGUAGGAUAAGUGCAAAGAAAUGUGGCACUGCUUCGGUAGUGUGUUAUAGUCUUUGUCGAUACUGCCAGCUUAGACUGAGGACUGCGGCUUCGGCCUAGGAUGUUGGCAUAAUGAUCUUAAGUCGCCCGUCUU
rnacentral:rRNA from 1 species